rnacentral:rRNA from 1 species
AGCUCCGGGCUUAACUCGGAGAUGUCGUUUCAAUACUGCGGGGCUUGAGGACAGCAGAAGGAAGNUGGAAUUCCCGGUGUAGUGGUGAAAUGCGUAGAUAUCGGGAGGAACACCCGUGGCGAAGGCGGCCUUCUGGGCUGUUCCCGACGCUGAAGGCGAAAGCUAGGGGAGCGAACGGGAUUAGAUACCCCGGUAGUCCUAGCUGUAAACGAUGGAUGCUGGGUGUGGGGGGUGUAAAUUCCCUCUGUGCCGAAGCAAACGCGUUAAGCAUCCCGCCUGGGGACUACGGCCGCAAGGCUAAAACUCAAACGAAUUGACGGGGGCCCGCACAAGCAGCGGAGCGUGUGGUUUAAUUCGAUGCUACACGAAGAACCUUACCUGGGUUUGACAUGCACGUGGUAGGGAACCGAAAGGGGACCGACCUUCGGGAGCGUGCACAGGUGCUGCAUGGCUGUCGUCAGCUCGUGCCGUGAGGUGUUGGGUUAAGUCCCGUAACGAGCGCAACCCUUGCCCUUAGUUACAAGUGUCUAAGGGGACUGCCCGGGACAACUGGGAGGAAGGUGGGGAUGACGUCAAGUCAGCAUGGCCUUUAUAUCCAGGGCUACACACACGCUACAAUGGCCGGUACAAUAGGUUGCGAAGUCGUGAGGCGGAGCCAAUCCUCAAAGCCGGUCUCAGUUCGAAUUGCAGUCUGCAACUCGACUGCAUGAAGCCGGAGUUGCUAGUAAUCGCAGGUCAGCUAUACUGCGGUGAAUACGUUCCCGGGCCUUGUACACUCCGCCCGUCACGUCAUGGAAGCUGGCAACGCCUGAAGCCGGUGAGCUAACCCGAAAGGGAGGCAGCCGUCGAGGGUGGGGCUGGUAACUGGGACGAAGUCG